GUGCUUGCCCCUGGAGUUUACUGAAGUAAACUUUGACCCCUGUUUUGUGGGGUUAGGGUUCUUGCUUGUCAUAACUGGAAACAGAGUGCCAGAACAAAGUUUUCAGUAUCGGAUGUCUCAAGGGACGUGUGUGGGGAGAUAACCUGGUGUGACUUGAAUUUCUGAAUAGAUAUGGAAUAUUCUUCGAUGCAAGUGUUCACCGAAACUCUUCCUAGAGAAGAACUUGUUUUCUGAAAGUUUAAAAGAGAGUCAUUUACUUAAGGCAAUGCGUUUAUUCAACAGAUUGGUAAAGGGACUACUUGUUUCUUUCUAAGAAACUUGUUUUUGGACACUGCAGCAGGUACUGUUUGGAGAGAAGUAAAGAUUUGGAACUGAAAAUUCUGGAUAAAUGCCUGUGGUUGGAAGCAUCCUGUAAACCGGCCCCAGAUGAAGAGGUACAGGCUGCCCUGAGCAGGUGGAGGGCUCCGUUCUGUGUGGCUUGGACCUGGAGAUGGGAGCCCUGUUCCAGUGGCUGCUGCCUCCCUCGCCGUGAGAAAGACGGAAUAGUAACAGCCCGUAAAGAUCUUCCUGAUGCUCGGACCUCAGCAAGCUCUGGAAACCAGGAGGCCCCAUCCCAGAGCCCAUGCACUCCACAGAGGCAAGGGGCCCGCUGGAUCUUUGGAUGUUCCAGGUUGCACGUAGGGGCUUCCUCCUUGUAGAAGCCUAGGGCUCCAGAGACAGCCCUGGGGUAUUUCCACACCAGAGCUGGGAACAAUCAGGGGCCUGGCGCAUCAGGAAAGUGGCCGGGGAGGCCCCAGCCUCCGCUCCUUGCAGGGCAAGGCCCUGGCUCCCAGGGCCUGGCUGUGGGCCAGCGUCCAGGCCUACCCUUUCCUCCCACUCGCGUGGAUCCCUGGGGUCUGCCCACCGCUCCCGGUUCUCAACAGCCAGGCUGCAGGGAGAGUUUGAGGGAGACCACCCAAGGCAAACAAGGACGACGACCGUGAUGCUUGCUCUGAUUCCCCGUGGGAUUCAUGUCACAUGCAUAAACAGCUCACAAAGCUUAUAUUCAUAGAAACGCUUAGGAUGUGGAAUUGGAGCCAGAGGGUUCUGUGGACAGUCAGGGAG
rnacentral:lncRNA from 1 species